GUCUACGACCAUAUCAACGUUUUGAAAUCCGGUUCUCGUCCGAUCACCGAAGUUUAAGCACGUCGUAGCCGGUUAGUACUUGGUUAGGGGACCGCCUUGGUGAAACCGGGUGCUUGUGACA
rnacentral:rRNA from 1 species